ACCUGGAUAGCUCAGUCGGUUAAUGGUAUGGUGCUGAUAACGCCAAGGUUGCAGGUUCGAUUCCUGUAAGGGA